UACGUAGGGGGCAAGCGUUAUCCGGAUUUACUGGGUGUAAGGGGGGCGCGGACGGCGAUGCAAGCCAGGAGUGAAAGCCCGGGGCCCAACUCCGGGACUGCUCUUGGAACUGCGUGGCUGGAGUGCAGGAGGGGCAGGCGGAAUUCCUGGUGUAGCGGUGAAAUGCGUAGAUAUCAGGAGGAACACCGGUGGCGAAGGCGGCCUGCUGGACUGCAACUGACGUUGAGGCCCGAAAGCGUGGGGAGCAAACAGG
rnacentral:rRNA from 1 species